UACGAAGGGGGCUAGCGUUGUUCGGAAUUACUGGGCGUAAAGCGCGCGCAGGCGGUCUGUCGCGUCUGCUGUGAAAACUCGGGGCUUAACCCCGGGCCUGCAGUGGGUACGGGCAGACUAGAGUGCGGUAGGGGAGACUGGAAUUCCUGGUGUAGCGGUGGAAUGCGCAGAUAUCAGGAGGAACACCGGUGGCGAAGGCGGGUCUCUGGGCAGUAACUGACGCUGAGGAGCGAAAGCGUGGGGAGCGAACAGG
rnacentral:rRNA from 1 species